rnacentral:rRNA from 1 species
GCGUGGCGGGGUGCUAUACAUGCAGUCGAGCGGACGGAUGGGAGCUUGCUCCCUGAAGUCAGCGGCGGACGGGUGAGUAACACGUGGGCAACCUGCCUGUAAGACUGGGAUAACUCCGGGAAACCGGGGCUAAUACCGGAUAACUCUUUUCCUCACAUGAGGGAAAGCUGAAAGAUGGUUUCGGCUAUCACUUACAGAUGGGCCCGCGGCGCAUUAGCUAGUUGGUGAGGUAACGGCUCACCAAGGCCACGAUGCGUAGCCGACCUGAGAGGGUGAUCGGCCACACUGGGACUGAGACACGGCCCAGACUCCUACGGGAGGCAGCAGUAGGGAAUCUUCCGCAAUGGACGAAAGUCUGACGGAGCAACGCCGCGUGAGUGAUGAAGGUUUUCGGAUCGUAAAACUCUGUUGUCAGGGAAGAACAAGUACCGGAGUAACUGCCGGUACCUUGACGGUACCUGACCAGAAAGCCACGGCUAACUACGUGCCAGCAGCCGCGGUAAU